UCGACUACAUGAAGCUGGAAUCGCUAGUAAUCGCAAAUCAGAAUGUUGCGGUGAAUACGUUCCCGGGUCUUGUACACACCGCCCGUCACACCAUGGGAGUCGGAAAUGCCCGAAGUCUGUGACCCAACGAAAGAGGGAGCAGCCGAAGGCAGGUCUGAUAACUGGGGUGAAGUCGUAACAAGGUAAC
rnacentral:rRNA from 1 species